UGAAGGAGCAGUUUGUGCUAUUGGAACCAAACAAAAGUGGCACCCUAAGCUUGGACAAUGUUAAAGCGGCCUUGAUGAAAAGUGCAACAGAUGCUGUGAAGGAGUCUCACAUCCUUGAAUUUCUUACAUCAGUAUGUGCUUUGAUUGUGAUGGUGGAUGUGCCAUCAACAAUUGUUUCCCCUAUGGUGUUCUAAUUUUUGGAGUGAAAUUGUUUUCUCUUCUUUUGUGACAGCAUGAAACGGUUUGAUUUCUAUAGCAUCUCUUCUUUGCUCUUCAAUGAUUGAAGUGGGUUUUCAAAAGGUCUCUACCUAGCUGCGGUGAAAAAAUGCAGAUUUCAAAAAAUAGAGAACGAGGUGUCAGGUUAGCAUUUCCUGUCAUACUUAUUGGUUCUAUUUGAUUGACAACAGUUACUUUUGAGUCUGUUAGUUGGUGUUUACUAAUGCAACAUUUAUGUGGUCUAUUUUGGUUAAGCAAUUUGCAAGAUCUUGUUACUGUUAGCUUUCUUUUGUUCAAUUGUUUUGAUCCUGACCAAUCAAGACUGAUGUUAAUUGUUAAUAAUUGUGAGAUGGCGAAUUAAUUCAGUAUUUGUGAUUUAUCAUUUAUGAACCCUUUGAUGAUAAACAAAGGCCUUUUUUGUUCUUCUUUUAACUUGUCCAA